GGACCCGCACAAGCGGUGGAGCAUGUGGUUUAAUUCGAAGCAACGCGAAGAACCUUACCAAGUCUUGACAUCCUUCUGACCGGUCAGUAACGUGACCUUUCCUUCGGGACAGAAGAGACAGGUGGUGCAUGGUUGUCGUCAGCUCGUGUCGUGAGAUGUUGGGUUAAGUCCCGCAACGAGCGCAACCCUUAUCCUUAGUAGCCAGCAGUUCGGCUGGGCACUCUAGGGAGACUGCCGGGGAUAACCCGGAGGAAGGUGGGGAUGACGUCAAAUCAUCAUGCCCCUUAUGAUUUGGGCUACACACGUGCUACAAUGGCGUAAACAAAGAGAAGCAGCCCUGUGAAGGUGAGCAAAUCUCAGAAAUAACGUCUCAGUUCGGAUUGUAGUCUGCAACUCGACUACAUGAAGCUGGAAUCGCUAGUAAUCGCGAAUCAGAAUGUCGCGGUGAAUACGUUCCCGGGUCUU
rnacentral:rRNA from 1 species